AGGGGAUGGAGGUACAGAGUAUCGUAAACCUCUUUUGUCAGGGAACAAAGGGCGCCACGUGUGGCGCUAUGAGGGUACCUGAAAGAAAAAGCAUCGGCUAACUCCGUGCC
rnacentral:rRNA from 1 species